rnacentral:rRNA from 1 species
GGAGGCUGCAGUAGGGAAUAUUGGCACAUUGGGGGCAACCCUGAUCCAGCAAUGCCGCGUGAGUGAUGAAGCCUUAGUGGUUGUAAUGCUCUUUGUACCCGGGACUGAUAUUGAGAGUACCGGGAGAAUAAGCCCCGGCUAACUCGGUGCCAGC